rnacentral:tRNA from 1 species
ACCUGGGUGGCUCAGUUGGUUGAGCGUCUGACUUUGGCUCAGGUCACAAUCUCGCGGUUUGUGGGUUCAAGCCCCGUGUCGGGCU